rnacentral:rRNA from 1 species
CCUACGGGUGGCAGCAGUAGGGAAUAUUGCUCAAUGGGGGAAACCCUGAAGCAGCAACGCCGCGUGGAGGAUGACGGUUUUCGGAUUGUAAACUCCUUUUGUUAGAGAAGAUAAUGACGGUAUCCAACGAAUAAGCACCGGCUAACUCCGUGCCAGCAGCCGCGGUAAUACGGAGGGUGCAAGCGUUACCCGGAAUCACUGGGCGUAAAGAGCGCGUAGGCGGGAUAGCAAGUCAGAUGUGAAAUCCUAGGGCUUAACCAUAGAACUGCAUUUGAAACUGUUAUUCUAGAGUAUGGGAGAGGUAGGUGGAAUUCUUGGUGUAGGGGUAAAAUCCGUAGAGAUCAAGAGGAAUACUCAUUGCGAAGGCGACCUGCUAGAACAUAACUGACGCUGAUGCGCGAAAGCGUGGGGAGCAAACAGGAUUAGAUACCCUAGUAGUC